GUUAGGAAUAUUGGACAAUGGGCGCAAGCCUGAUCCAGCCAUGCCGCGUGAGUGAUGAAGGCCUUCGGGUUGUAAAGCUCUUUAGUCCACGAAUAUAAUGACUGUAGUGGAAGAAUAAGCCCCGGCUAACUUCGUGCCAGCAGCCGCGGUAAUACGAAGGGGGCGAGCGUUAUUCGGAAUCACUGGGCGUAAAGCGUGCGUAGGCUGUUUUGUAAGUCAGAAGUGAAAGCCCAGGGCUUAACCCUGGAAUUGCAUUUGAAACUACAAGACUCGAAUUCGGGAGAGGAUAGCGGAAUUGUCAGUGUAGCAGUGAAAUGCGUAGAUAUUGACAGGAACACCAGUGGCGCAAGCGGCUAUCUGGACCGAUAUUGACGCUGAGGCACGAAAGCGUGGGGAGCAAACAGGAUUAGAAACCCUGGUAGUCC
rnacentral:rRNA from 1 species